rnacentral:misc_RNA from 1 species
GAUGAAGAACGCAGCGAAAUGCGAUAAGUAAUGUGAAUUGCAGAAUUCAGUGAAUCAUCGAAUCUUUGAACGCACAUUGCGCCCCCUGGUAUUCCGGGGGGCAUGCCUGUUCGAGCGUCAUUACAACCCUCAAGCUCUGCUUGGUAUUGGGCCCCGCCAGUUCUGGCGGGCCCUAAAGUCAGUGGCGGUGCCUUCCGGCUCCGAGCGUAGUAAUUCUUCUCGCUAUGGAGUCCUGGUGGAUGCUUGCCAUCAACCCCCAAUUUUUCUAUGGUUGACCUCGGAUCAGGUAGGGAUACCCGCUGAACUUAAGCAUAUCAAUAAGCGGAGGA